rnacentral:misc_RNA from 1 species
GAUGAAGAACGCAGCAAAAUGCGAUAAGUAAUGUGAAUUGCAGAAUUCAGUGAAUCAUCGAAUCUUUGAACGCACAUUGCGCCCGCUGGUAUUCCGGCGGGCAUGCCUGUUCGAGCGUCAUUUCAACCCUCAAGCCCCCGGGUUUGGUGUUGGGGAUCGGCUCUGCCCUUCUGGGCGGUGCCGCCCCCGAAAUACAUUGGCGGUCUCGCUGCAGCCUCCAUUGCGUAGUAGCUAACACCUCGCAACUGNNNCGCGGCGCGGCCAUGCCGUAAAACCCCAACUUCUGAAUGUUGACCUCGGAUCAGGUAGGAAUACCCGCUGAACUUAAGCAUAUCAAUAAGCGGAGGA